AUUGAACGCUGGCGGCAGGCUUAACACAUGCAAGUCGGACGGUAACGGGAAGAAAGCUUGCUUUCUUUGCUGACGAGUGGCGGACGGGUGAGUAAUGCUUGGGAAUCUGUUUUAUGGAGGGGGAUAACUACGGGAAACUGUAGCUAAUACCGCGUAAUAUCGAGAGAUUAAAGUGUGGGACCGUAAGGCCACAUGCCAUAGAGUGAGCCCAAGUGGGAUUAGGUAGUUGGUGGGGUAAAGGCCUACCAAGCCGUCGAUCUCUAGCUGGUCUGAGAGGAUGACCAGCCACACUGGGACUGAGACACGGCCCAGACUCCUACGGGAGGCAGCAGUGGGGAAUAUUGCACAAUGGGCGCAAGCCUGAUGCAGCCAUGCCGCGUGAAUGAAGAAGGCCUUCGGGUUGUAAAGUUCUUUCGGUGGUGAGGAAGGUUGGCGUGUUAAUAGCACGUUAAUUUGACGUUAGCCACAGAAGAAGCACCGGCUAACUCCGUGCCAGCAGCCGCGGUAAUACGGAGGGUGCGAGCGUUAAUCGGAAUAACUGGGCGUAAAGGGCACGCAGCGGAUACUUAAGUGAGGUGUGAAAGCCCUGGGCUUAACCUAGGAAUUGCAUUUCAUACUGGGUAUCUAGAGUAUUUUAGGGAGGGGUAGAAUUCCACGUGUAGCGGUGAAAUGCGUAAGAUGUGGAGGAAUACCGAAAGCGAAGGCAGCCCCUUGGGGGAAUACUGACGCUCAUGUGCGAAAGCGUGGGGAGCAAACAG
rnacentral:rRNA from 1 species